rnacentral:tRNA from 1 species
UAUAUUUUAGUGUAAGGUGCACGGGAGUUUUUGAUAUUUCAUGAGAUAGUUCAAUUCUAUUAAAUAUAA